rnacentral:rRNA from 1 species
CCCCGGUCUUAUUUGUUGGUUUUGUGGACCGAAGUAAUGAUUAAUAGGGAUAGUUGGGGGCAUUAGUAUUUAAUUGUCAGAGGUGAAAUUCAUGGAUUUGUUAAAGACUAACUUAUGCGAAAGCAUUUGCCAAGGAUGUUUUCAUUAAUCAAGAACGAAAGUUAGGGGAUCAAAGACGAUCAGAUACCGUCCUAGUCUUAACCAUAAACUAUGCCGACUAGGGAUUGGAGAUGCCAUUACAAAUACUUCUUCAGCACCUUAUGAGAAAUCAAAGUCUUUGGGUUCCGGGGGGAGUAUGGUCGCAAGGCUGAAACUUAAAGGAAUUGACGGAAGGGCACCACCAGGAGUGGAGCCUGCGGCUUAAUUUGACUCAACACGGGGAAACUCACC